rnacentral:rRNA from 1 species
UACGUAGGGGGCAAGCGUUGUCCGGAAUCAUUGGGCGUAAAGAGCGUGUAGGCGGCUCGAUAAGUCCGCUGUGAAAGUCCAGGGCUCAACCCUGGAAGGCCGGUGGAAACUGUCGGGCUAGAGUCCGGAAGAGGCGAGUGGAAUUCCCCGGUGUAGCGGUGAAAUGCGCAGAUAUCGGGAGGAACACCAAUGGCGAAGGCAGCUCGCUGGGACGGUACUGACGCUGAGACGCGAAAGCGUGGGGAGCAAACAGG